UGCUUCUUGUGCAGGUGACUGGGAGAUGCACCGCCGGUAACGGACGGGAAGAGAAGAAGGAGACGAUCCCGAUCCACCAGGUUGCUGGUCUUCAUUGGCUGUGGCGCGUGAACCCACGCGCCGCCAGUGACGGUGGUGCGUGAGGUCAACGCGCCGCCACGUGUCAAAGUGAUCCCAGAAGGCUCUCCUGCAAUUCUGUGUUUUGGGGGGGUCUUUUCUGUAAUUUUGAAACUGUUAAGGCCUUGUUUGUGUAAUUUUUUUAGUUUUUGCUAUUUGUAAUAUGUGAAUGUGAUGUAAAAAAGGAAAAGAAAAGAAAAACAAAUAAUAAUAAAAAGUUGUGUGUGUGUGUUUUUUUUAUUUAUUAUAUUGAAUUAUAUAAAAAAAGAACAAAAAAGAAUUAAUUGUUUAAUUUGAACAUGCACUGAUUUAUUAAAGCCUUAGAAUUGGGCUAAAAUUUUAUAUUUUUAAAAUUACAUCAAGCUCACGAAGCUUGAAUGUGGUGUGUGUAUUUUGUUUGUGAAUUUUUUAUUAAAAUAUUGCAGGAAUAAAGAAGGAUUUAAUAUUUUGAUUGGAUCACGGUGUAGAAAUACAAACUUGUACGGAAGUUGUAUUUCUAAAUCCGAUGAAAAGACAAUUUUUAAAACUUCUUUAACACAUCAGGUCCACGAAGCAGCUUACUUCAGGUAGGGUGCGUUAGGGGUGCUAAUACCUUCUUCCACUAACCACCAAUCAGUCCCUUACCCGACCAUGACCAGUCAGGGUUUCCUAGUAACCUCAAUUAAAUACUAGGUGGCGACUCCCAACGAACCAAUUCAAGCAACAACAACGAGAGACAUAAAUCGCCAGCCGAUGCCGCGCGCGGGAUUUUUCGACGUGCGACAGAAUGGCGACUCCACUGGGGAGGUACUGUUUCUGACAAUAUUGGACUAAGCUUUGUGUACUUGAUGUGUUUAAAUUUUGCCAUUUUUGUCUUGUUUUAUUUUAUGCAUGCAUUUUAUAGAAUUGUUUCAUGCAUCACGUAUUUAUUUUUGAAAGCACACACAAGCUUCUAAGUUAGGUGGGGAGUAGCAGUCUACCUCAUGACUUUCAGUCGGGGUUCAGAUUUGUGAAACAUCCAACUAUGAGCUGAGUGUUUACUCGGUAAUGGCGGUCACAUGGUGCCCCAACCAUUCCUUGUAAACCCCUAUACUGCCUUCACGUGAGGUCGUCACUGGGCAGUUCAUAGACCCUUUUGAGACCAGGUAGAAAACCUACCCAUGUUCACACAAUGAAUAGAACUUGUCCUUAGGUUGUAUGUGCUAUCAUUUAUUUGCAUCGGGGCGAACCCUUCUUGAAGCAUCUUGAACUCAAGAUUUGUGGGUGACACAUUGGUCGUCACUCGGAAAAUUUUCAUUGUAGAGUUUGGGCAAAAAUCAUGAUUCUUGUUCCAUCAUACAAGAGUUACGACCAUGUUGUCACCCCUCGAAGGGCGAGUUCAUCAUAUAGAUUUCAUGUUCAUACAUUUGUCAUGCAUGCACCAGAAUAAAAAGUAGGUCCCCUCCGAGUCUACAACACCUGAUUUUGAGAGAAAAACAUUGGAGACAAAGAGCGUGCUCACCGCAGCAUCCAUUUCCAAGAAGAGUUAGAGUCUCUGAAAGCAAGUGUGGCUCGCCUCACUAGCUUACUCGAGCAUAUUAGAAAUGCCUCUGAAGGUCCUUCCAAUCGGCCACAUUUUUGUUCAGCCCCAACAAACCCGAAGAAAUUGGGGGCCAACAUGAUCAAGAGCCUCAACACAAUCUGAAGGGGAAUUGCAUCACCGUUGCAGAAUGGAGCCUGUUCUUGCUCUGCCAAAAUAACUACCUCUGUUUGAUCAUGCCUCCAAAAACUUGAUUUUUUGUUUCAACCUAUUCCAGUUUUUGUUGGUAAUUUGGCUCAAAAUUCCACAAGACUUUCCUGUCCACUGAGCCUUUAUCAUGUGUUUUGCUGUGUUCAUCACAUGCCUUUUUUUGUUGUUUCAUGCAAAUAACACAUUGAGCAUAACCUUUAAGCAUGAAACCACCGCGCCCAAAAUCUUGUGGUGCGUUUCCCUUUUCUUCCCAAAACAUGCAUGUUUUCAUAAGGAUUUUUGGGAAUUCAAAGUUUAGUACAAAAACAGAAAUCAUGUUGAUGUUUGUCCGAAACAAACGAGUUCUGGAAAUUCAGGUGAUUCCUUAGAGAGGUAACCAUACACCUAGAAAACCCAAAAAAAAAAACACCAUGAAGUGACUCCAAAAGCUGAGUUUUGAUUGCAUGAAUAAUGAGAAAUCACUCUGCAUACUCGCAUGAAAGCAAGGCUUACCGAUCCUAAAUGCAUGCAUUUGAGAUGAAGAAAGGCCAUCUUUGAUAAUCCUUUCACAAGGCUGAAAUAUAUCAUUUGCAGUCCCCUUUUGAGCCUAAUAAAUUUUUCUUGAAAAAUAACCUUGGCUAGGAUCACACCCUACACUGGGGGGCAAGUGCAAAAAAAUCCAUAAUGAUUGAAAGUGCCCAAAUAACUCUUGGGGGCAUGAAAAAGUCUUCAACGAUGAAAGUGCCCAAACAAUACUGGGGGGCAUAAAAGAAAAUUCUCAAUCAUCAAAGGUGCCCAUACAAAGCUAGGGGGCAUGAAAAAAAAUCCAAAGGAUCCAAAAAUUUGAGCAAAAAAAAAAAGGCUAAUGCAAUGAUGCUCAAAAUCAAAUGAAGAAAACAAAAACAAAGAGAAACACCAACCCAACACUGGGGGGCACCGUGGACCAUUUUACAAAUCAAUUCCAAGGUCCAGAAAUGUAUGAACAAAAGAGUUUGGGAUAUAAGCACUUGUGAUCCUUAGUCUUAAAGUCCCUUAAACACCUUUUGAGCCUACAAUAUCAUUUUCUUCAUAGCCAAAAGCCCAAGCCUACAUUACGUGCCUAAUGAAGCCCUUUCUGAUCAAAGGCAAGCAAUCUGGAUCGGUAGGCAGUGCUUUCUCAUGCGAAAUAAAAUCAUUAUUCAUGCAAAUAAAAUGAAUGCUUUCACCAAACAUGUUUCUUCAAUAACCCACAAAAUUGAAAUUUCAACCUUUUGUGACCAACCAAAUGUCACUUCAUAUUUUUCACCAAAAUCAAAACAAAAAGUUCAUCACUUCUGAAAACCUCUCCAUAGGAAUCACUUGAAUUUCUUCAGAAUGAGUUCGCUUUGAAUCGAUGUUAAAAUGAUUUCUGUGUUUGGAAUAGCUUUGAAAUUCCAAAAAUUCUGCAUGAAAACAACUCCUUGUCAAACCUUCCGUCACAUAGCCUCAUCCCCAAACCCGAAUUGAAUACUUGGGGGCAUGAUCAAGCUAGGGGGCAAUCAAAAACAUCUGGUAGAGCUUGCUCCGUGAUUCCCUUUCGAAGAAACUAUUGGGCAAAAUUUGCAACCCUUGAGAUAAAAGGGGUGGAGAACAAAGAAAUGAUGACAUCAAGUCUUUCUUAGAGGCCAAGAUCGUAAGAUAUGACUCGAGUAAGCAAGAGCGAAAAGAGCCAUCAAAGCUUAUUAUCAGAGACUCAAACUUUUGAGAAAAGGAGAACUCCAUGAAGAAAAAGGGGACCUAUACUUCUCAGGUAAGUAUACAUGCAUAUUGAUCAUGAUGCAUUACUUUCAUCCUUGACAGAUCGGUGUCUCACCAUCACCUCUUUUUGAGCGGGUUGCUGAAGCCUAACCUUUUAGGUAGUGUGUUUUCCAACCCUACCUCCUUCUGAGGGCGUCUUUUAGCCCUCACCCCUUAGGUAGUGCGUUUUCCAACCCUAUCUCUUUUUAAGUGCGCCUUAGGGCCAUUAACCACCUUAGGUAGUGCGUUUUCCAACCUUACCUCCUUACCUCUUUUCAAGUGCACCUUUGAACCCCCGAUCACCUUUAGGUAGUGCGUUUUUCAACCCUAUCUCCUUUUAAGUGCGCCUUAGAGCCAUCAACCCUUUAGGUAGUGCGUUUUCCAACCCUAUCUCUUUUUAAGUGCGCCUUAGGGCCAUUAACCACCUUAGGUAGGGCGUUUUCCAACCUUACCUCCUUACCUCUUUUCGAGUGCACCUUUGAGCCCUCGAUCACCUUUAGGUAGUGUGUUUUCCAACCCUGCCUCCUUUUUUAGUACGCCUUCGAGCCUUAACCCUUUAGGUAGUGUGUUUUCCAACCCUGCCUCUUUUUUAGCGCGCCUUCGAGCUAACAACCCCUUUAGGUAGUGUGUUUUAUGACCCUACCUCCCCUUUAGAGUGCGCCUUAGAGCCUUCAACCACUUUAGGUAGUGCGUUUCCCAACCUUACCUCCUUUCGUAUGCUCCUUCGAGCCCUCACCACUUUAGGUAGUGAGUUUUCCAACCCUACCUCCUUUUGAAUGCUCCUUUGAACCCUUACCCCUCAGGUAAUGCGUUUUCCAACCUUGCCUCCUUUUGAGAGCUCCUUCGAGCCCUCACCUCUUGUGUGGUGUGCUUUCUAGCCCUAUUUUCCUUCUUUAGAGUGCGCCUUGGAGCACUCACCUCUUAGGUAGUGUGUUUUUCGAACCCUAUCUCCUUUCGAGUGCGCUCUUCAGCCCUCGUUCCCCAUCGAGUCCUAUCAUGUCGUCCCUUUGAGACAUUUUGCCUUUUCACCCGGGCAGGUCACCCAUUAUAAUCAGACUUCUUUCAAAACUCUUUUCAUCUUCCAUUUGGGCCGGUUGCCCAUAACAAUAAAACCACUUUGAAAAAUCUCUGCAUUUUUCACCACUUUGAAAAAUCUCUGCAUUUUUCAUCACCUUGAAAAAUCUUUACAUUUUUCACCAAUUCUGAGAAAUCUUUGCAUUUCUCCCCACCUUCAAAAUUCUUCCAUUUGGGCCGGUUGCCCAUAACAAUAAAACCAUUUUGAGAAAUCCUUGCAUUUCUCCCCACUCUCAAACUUUUUCACUUGGGCCGGUUGCCCAUCACAACAAGACCACUUUGAGAAAUCUUUGCAUUUCUCACCACUUUAAGAAAUCUUUGCAUUUCUCACCACUUUGAAAAAUCUUUGUAUUUCUCACCACUUUGAGAAAUCUUUGCAUUUCUCACCACCUCCAAAAUUUGUCACCAUCUUGAAAAAUCUCUGCAUUUUUCACCUCUUUGAAAAAUCUUUGUAUUUUUCAAAACCUUUCCAUCGGGCCGGUUGCCCAUUACAAUAAAACCACUUUGAAAAAUCUCUGUAUGCAUUUUUCAUCAUUUUGAGAAAUCUUUGCAUUUCUCACCACCUUGAAAAAUAUUCGUAUUUUUCACCACCUUGAAAACUCUUUUCGUUUUCCACCUUGGGCCGGUUGCCCAUUACAACAAAACCACUUUGAGAAAUCUUCGCAUUUUUCACCACUUUGAAAUCUUUGCAUUUUUCACCACCUUGAAAACUCCUUUUGUUUUCCAUCUUGGGCCGGUUGCCCAUUACAACAAAACCAUUUUGAAAAAUCUUUGCAUUUUUCACCACUUUAAAACAUAUUCGUGUUUUUCACCCGGGUAGGUCACCCAUGACAAUUCGACCAUUUCAAAAUCUUUGAAUUUUCAAAAAAAAAAAAAAAAAAAAAAAAAAAAAAAUCUCUUUCUUUUUUUCUUCUUUACAACGCUUACUAUCUAAAGCCUCCUACGAGACUUUCUAUCAUAAGCAUUGUAAAGAGGGGGGCAACUGUCAUAACCCAGUUUUGGGUUAUUCCCCAAAUUUUACUUUUUUUCAAAAUAAAAAUAAAAAAUAAAAUAAAAUUAAUGCUGCAAAAAUAGGCAAAAAUCGAAGGACAAAUUAAAUGCAAAUUCGAAGGUCAAAUAAAAUGAUUAUUGGAUGAAUUUGCAUAAAAAUUAAGUCCAAUGACAUAAUUAAAUUUUUAAUAGGCCAAUUUGAUUUAAUCAUGGGCCAAAUUAAAUUUUAAUUAUGUUUAAGAAUUAAUUUGGGUCCAAUUGAAGGAUUUAAUUAAGUGCAAGGACUUAAUUAUACUUUAAAUGGGUCAAAUUAAUUUGAGGGCUUAAUUGGUGAAAAAUUAAGUUUGGGAGCUUAAUUUGGACUGAAUUGAAAAGAUUGAAAUUUUAAGACCAAAUUUAAUUUUUACCAAAUGAAUUGAACACAAAAAUUGAGGGACCAAUUUGAAAGCUCGAAAAAUUAUUUUGCCUAUAAAUAGCAGUUUUUAACUCAAAAUUAGGGGGGUUUUAUUUUGUAAUUUUGGAAGGAAAGAGAGAACCCUAAAAAACUAAACUUUUCUUUUUCUCUACUGAAGGCAGCCGCCAGGGAGCCCCCGCUGGUUUUCAAUUUUUUUGACUCCCUGAGCUGCUCUCCUUUGCCUGAUUUUUCAACCCAAACGGCAGUCCCUACUGGUUGAAACAAAACCAGAGCAGCCCCCGGUUGCAAACUUUCUUCCCACUGCCUCUGAUUUUUUUUCUUCUCCCGGAGCCGCCCCCCCCCACGUUUUUGGGUUUUCCUCUUCAGCGGGUUCCACUCAUUUUCCCUUCUCCCGGCACCAGUCAGCUGCUGCCAUUCCCUUCUCUUCAGCAAAGAAACCAUUUUUUUUCACAGACCCAAGCUUUCAUCUUCUCUGCAGCGGUCACCCAAAACUGAAGAGAAGACACGAAACCACAGCCACGCAUGGCCUCCUCCUCCUCCUUGAUCUUCUUCUCCUCCGUAGCAGUUGGUUUUCACUGCUCCCCUUCAGCACCAUUCUUUUUUUUCACGCAAGCCAGGCGCUGACCCCCCUCUCUUUGAAAAACAGAGGCACCUCUCAUCAGCCAAAAAAUUAGAGGCUCAAGCCUGCCGUUCACCAUCACUCUCCCUCUCAAUCCUUCCUCCCUCACGGACCCAUAACCGGACCCUUCUCCUCCAAGAACAAAACUCAGCCCCUCGCCUGAUCUCCCUCAGCACUCUCGGUUGCAGCCAAACGCCAGCAGCCCCAUUUUCCUCUCCUUGGACCAACAACCCGACAGACCCAGCUGUCUCUCCCUUAACCUUUCCACAGCCGGUGACAGAGAAGUAAUACCAGAACCACAGACCGGCCUUCCACUAUAACCGACUAGCAGCAGCCCGACACAGCGGCGCCGACAGAUUCCCGAUCUGUCCGCCUCCAGCCAGCCACCUCUGCUCUCGUCUUCAACCAUCCAAACAGCCAUAAGCAGUGGUGGCGUUGGACCCAAGAAGAAGAAAGGAAAAACAGCAAACCAUAAUUAAAAAGAAAGACCCGGGAACAGAUCUGCAGAGGAAGAAAAAAAGAUUAAAAUCAACUGCCAUGUGUUGUGUUUUUGCUUCUUGUGCAGGUGACUGGGAGAUGCACCGCCGGUACGGACGGGAAGAGAAGAAGGAGACGAUCCCGAUCCACCAGGUUGCUGGUCUUCAUUGGCUGUGGCGCGUGAACCCACGCGCCGCCAGUGACGGUGGUGCGUGAGGUCAACGCGCCGCCACGUGUCAAAGUGAUCCCAGAAGGCUCUCCUGCAAUUCUGUGUUUUGGGGGGGUCUUUUCUGUAAUUUUGAAACUGUUAAGGCCUUGUUUGUGUAAUUUUUUUAGUUUUUGCUAUUUGUAAUAUGUGAAUGUGAUGUAAAAAAGGAAAAGAAAAGAAAAACAAAUAAUAAUAAAAAGUUGUGUGUG
rnacentral:lncRNA from 1 species